rnacentral:rRNA from 1 species
CGGCGGACGGGUGAGUAACACGUGGGUAACCUACCUAUAAGACUGGGACAACUUCGGGAAACCGGAGCUAAUACCGGAUAAGAUAUCGAACCGCAUGGUUCGAUAGUGAAAGAUGGUUUUGCUAUCACUUAUAGAUGGACCCGCGCCGUAUUAGCUAGUUGGUGAGGUAACGGCUCACCAAGGCAACGAUACGUAGCCGACCUGAGAGGGUGAUCGGCCACACUGGAACUGAGACACGGUCCAGACUCCUACGGGAGGCAGCAGCU